rnacentral:rRNA from 1 species
AGACCUACGGGGGGCUGCAGUGGGGAAUAUUGGACAAUGGGCGCAAGCCUGAUCCAGCAAUGCCGCGUGAGUGAUGAAGGCCUUCGGGUCGUAAAGCUCUUUUACCAGGGAUGAUAAUGACAGUACCUGGAGAAUAAGCUCCGGCUAACUCCGUGCCAGCAGCCGCGGUAAUACGGAGGGAGCUAGCGUUGUUCGGAAUUACUGGGCGUAAAGCGCACGUAGGCGGCGACACAAGUCAGAGGUGAAAGCCCGGGGCUCAACCCCGGAACUGCCUUUGAAACUAGGGUGCUAGAAUCUUGGAGAGGUCAGUGGAAUUCCGAGUGUAGAGGUGAAAUUCGUAGAUAUUCGGAAGAACACCAGUGGCGAAGGCGACUGACUGGACAAGUAUUGACGCUGAGGUGCGAAAGCGUGGGGAGCAAACAGGAUUAGAUACCCCAGUAGUCGC